ensembl:snoRNA
AUCCUUUCUGGCUCAUAAGCAUGGGUAGGUUUUCACACCAUUAGGUGAGAUGUGCCUCCCCCCUCAAACCUUGUUAUGACAUCGGCACUGUACCUGUCUGAUA